AUGGAAGUGUACAACAGAAGAGCGCGACGCAGCGACAGCUACUGCGGCCCCGCUCCGCGCCCCGGGAGCCAGCGGCGGGCGCAGACUGAGCAACAACCAAACUACUUCCUCCUCCGGCGCCGCGCCGCGGGCCCGCCCCCUGCGCUGCAGGCACGCACACGUCACGGCGUCACACGCGCUGGUUCAAGGGGUGCUAUCCUACUGUCUGUGGUCACUUUUGCCAAGAGUAAGUCAAAAACAAUUCUGGUGAAACUGAUAAGCCAAGCUGGAAUGGGCUGUUUCCUUAACACUACAAUUACAGGAGAAACUGACUCUGUUGCAUUAUGAUCCAGCUGAGGGAAAAAAAAAAGUUUUCUUUGUGGAAAAGAAAAAAAUACACUCCCUCUAAACAAAAGAUUGAAAAUGAAUUUGAUUUAUAAAUGAGAAGACUGAGGGCUGGGUACGGAUUUAGAAAUUCUGAGCAGGCAAUAAAAGAAGAGGAAAUGGCACAAAAUUACCACCUCUUAUGAUUUGAAGGCCAUUGUGAAGGAAAACAAUGCAGUGAAAGAAACUUCUUCAUACAAGGCUAUAUAUCAUUGCAUCACAUUUAUUUAUCUUUCUGGAUUUUUUUAUAGCCCUUAAUAAUUAAAAAUAUUUAA